AGCGUACACGGUGGAUGCCCUGGCAGUCAGAGGCGAUGAAGGACGUGCUAAUCUGCGAUAAGCGUCGGUAAGGUGAUAUGAACCGUUAUAACCGGCGAUUUCCGAAUGGGGAAACCCAGUGUGAUUCGUCACACUAUCAUUAACUGAAUCCAUAGGUUAAUGAGGCGAACCGGGGGAACUGAAACAUCUAAGUACCCCGAGGAAAAGAAAUCAACCGAGAUUCCCCCAGUAGCGGCGAGCGAACGGGGAGGAGCCCAGAGCCUGAAUCAGUGUGUGUGUUAGUGGAAGCGUCUGGAAAGGCGUGCGAUACAGGGUGACAGCCCCGUACACAAAAAUGCACAUACUGUGAGCUCGAUGAGUAGGGCGGGACACGUGGUAUCCUGUCUGAAUAUGGGGGGACCAUCCUCCAAGGCUAAAUACUCCUGACUGACCGAUAGUGAACCAGUACCGUGAGGGAAAGGCGAAAAGAACCCCGGCGAGGGGAGUGAAAAAGAACCUGAAACCGUGUACGUACAAGCAGUGGGAGCCUCUUAAUGGGGUGACUGCGUACCUUUUGUAUAAUGGGUCAGCGACUUAUAUUCUGUAGCAAGGUUAACCGAAUAGGGGAGCCGAAGGGAAACCGAGUCUUAACUGGGCGUUAAGUUGCAGGGUAUAGACCCGAAACCCGGUGAUCUAGCCAUGGGCAGGUUGAAGGUUGGGUAACACUAACUGGAGGACCGAACCGACUAAUGUUGAAAAAUUAGCGGAUGACUUGUGGCUGGGGGUGAAAGGCCAAUCAAACCGGGAGAUAGCUGGUUCUCCCCGAAAGCUAUUUAGGUAGCGCCUCGUGAAUUCAUCUCCGGGGGUAGAGCACUGUUUCGGCAAGGGGGUCAUCCCGACUUACCAACCCGAUGCAAACUGCGAAUACCGGAGAAUGUUAUCACGGGAGACACACGGCGGGUGCUAACGUCCGUCGUGAAGAGGGAAACAACCCAGACCGCCAGCUAAGGUCCCAAAGUCAUGGUUAAGUGGGAAACGAUGUGGGAAGGCCCAGACAGCCAGGAUGUUGGCUUAGAAGCAGCCAUCAUUUAAAGAAAGCGUAAUAGCUCACUGGUCGAGUCGGCCUGCGCGGAAGAUGUAACGGGGCUAAACCAUGCACCGAAGCUGCGGCAGCGACACUAUGUGUUGUUGGGUAGGGGAGCGUUCUGUAAGCCUGUGAAGGUGUACUGUGAGGUAUGCUGGAGGUAUCAGAAGUGCGAAUGCUGACAUAAGUAACGAUAAAGCGGGUGAAAAGCCCGCUCGCCGGAAGACCAAGGGUUCCUGUCCAACGUUAAUCGGGGCAGGGUGAGUCGACCCCUAAGGCGAGGCCGAAAGGCGUAGUCGAUGGGAAACAGGUUAAUAUUCCUGUACUUGGUGUUACUGCGAAGGGGGGACGGAGAAGGCUAUGUUGGCCGGGCGACGGUUGUCCCGGUUUAAGCGUGUAGGCUGGUUUUCCAGGCAAAUCCGGAAAAUCAAGGCUGAGGCGUGAUGACGAGGCACUACGGUGCUGAAGCAACAAAUGCCCUGCUUCCAGGAAAAGCCUCUAAGCAUCAGGUAACAUCAAAUCGUACCCCAAACCGACACAGGUGGUCAGGUAGAGAAUACCAAGGCGCUUGAGAGAACUCGGGUGAAGGAACUAGGCAAAAUGGUGCCGUAACUUCGGGAGAAGGCACGCUGAUAUGUAGGUGAAGUCCCUCGCGGAUGGAGCUGAAAUCAGUCGAAGAUACCAGCUGGCUGCAACUGUUUAUUAAAAACACAGCACUGUGCAAACACGAAAGUGGACGUAUACGGUGUGACGCCUGCCCGGUGCCGGAAGGUUAAUUGAUGGGGUUAGCGGUAACGCGAAGCUCUUGAUCGAAGCCCCGGUAAACGGCGGCCGUAACUAUAACGGUCCUAAGGUAGCGAAAUUCCUUGUCGGGUAAGUUCCGACCUGCACGAAUGGCGUAAUGAUGGCCAGGCUGUCUCCACCCGAGACUCAGUGAAAUUGAACUCGCUGUGAAGAUGCAGUGUACCCGCGGCAAGACGGAAAGACCCCGUGAACCUUUACUAUAGCUUGACACUGAACAUUGAGCCUUGAUGUGUAGGAUAGGUGGGAGGCUUUGAAGUGUGGACGCCAGUCUGCAUGGAGCCGGCCUUGAAAUACCACCCUUUAAUGUUUGAUGUUCUAACGUUGGCCCCUGACCGGGGUUGCGGACAGUGUCUGGUGGGUAGUUUGACUGGGGCGGUCUCCUCCUAAAGAGUAACGGAGGAGCACGAAGGUUGGCUAAUCCUGGUCGGACAUCAGGAGGUUAGUGCAAUGGCAUAAGCCAGCUUGACUGCGAGCGUGACGGCGCGAGCAGGUGCGAAAGCAGGUCAUAGUGAUCCGGUGGUUCUGAAUGGAAGGGCCAUCGCUCAACGGAUAAAAGGUACUCCGGGGAUAACAGGCUGAUACCGCCCAAGAGUUCAUAUCGACGGCGGUGUUUGGCACCUCGAUGUCGGCUCAUCACAUCCUGGGGCUGAAGUAGGUCCCAAGGGUAUGGCUGUUCGCCAUUUAAAGUGGUACGCGAGCUGGGUUUAGAACGUCGUGAGACAGUUCGGUCCCUAUCUGCCGUGGGCGCUGGAGAACUGAGGGGGGCUGCUCCUAGUACGAGAGGACCGGAGUGGACGCAUCACUGGUGUUCGGGUUGUCAUGCCAAUGGCACUGCCCGGUAGCUAAAUGCGGAAGAGAUAAGUGCUGAAAGCAUCUAAGCACGAAACUUGCCCCGAGAUGAGUUCUCCCUGACUCCUUGA
rnacentral:rRNA from 2 species